GAAAGCCAGAAAACCAAGCAUACCUUUACUCUAUGUGAAGUGAGAAAACUCAGGCUCCAGGAGAAGAUCUAAGGGGCUUUUCUCUGAGCAAAAGGAGAGAGAGGACAGGUGAGGCCGACUCCUUCCCAGAAUGCUGAGAUCUGGGCCAAGGCAAGCUGACAGGGCAACAAAGGUCCCAGAGGACCCUGUCUGUUGAGGACCUUAAAAUGGAUUCAUCUGAUACAGGGAGGCUAUGAGAACCAGAACUGGGCUCAAAUAUUUGACUUGUGUUCAAGAGACUCAAGGCUGAGUGACAGAAAGAAUCCAGCCCAGCCUGGGUGCUAGAAGGUCUGGAUUCUCCCUGCCCCUAGGAUCCCUACAAGGCUGGUAUACUGAAAUGGCAUUUACACUUGUGGCUCAUCAUGAUGCUGUGACCAAUUGUGUGGGUUUGGGUGGUACACUAAAUUUCUCUGGGUCUCUAUUCCUCCAUUUGUAAAAUGAAGAAUUUGAGUUAGAGAACCCCCAAAUUUCCUUUCAGCAUAAAAGUUUCGUGAUUACCAGAGACCUGCUUAAGCCCCAUUUCCUUCAUGUUUAAAGCAUGCACAAUCUUGUCUGUUUCAUAGGGAGGUGGUGUAAGUGUAUGUGAAAGUGCUCAGUAAGCCUUAAAACACAAAUGCUAGCUUUCCUUAGAAUUCUUUUUGCAGCUCUUUCUUCAUAGCAUAUUUCAUUUUCUUUUUAUUUGUGCUAAAUAGGAAUUCAUAAAAUCCAGGUCUUGGUUUGAUAAAAGGAAGCAGGAUGUCAGUUCAGGUAGAUGAAGACAUUAUAAAUGGCAGCAGCAUCUCAAAGUUCUUUGGACAGAGGCUGACUGGACCUACCCUCAGUCUUCAGAA